rnacentral:rRNA from 1 species
AAUAUUGCACAAGGGAGGAAACUCUGAUGCAGCAACGCCGCGUGGAGGACGAAGGUUUUCGGUUUGUAAACUCCUGUCUUUUGGGACGAUAAUGACGGUACCAAAAGAGGAAGCCACGGCUAACUACGUGCCAGCAGCCGCGGUAAUACGUAGGUGGCGAGCGUUGUCCGGAAUUACUGGGCGUAAAGGGCGCGUAGGCGGCCUGUUAAGUCAGAUGUGAAACCCCCAGGCUCAACUUGGGGAUUGCAUAUGAAACUGAUGGGCUCGAGUGUCGGAGAGGAAAGCGGAAUUCCUAGUGUAGCGGUGAAAUGCGUAGAUAUUAGGAGGAACACCAGUGGCGAAGGCGGCUUUCUGGACGAUAACUGACGCUGAGGCGCGAAAGCGUGGGGAGCAAACAGG